rnacentral:tRNA from 1 species
UCCCUUGUGGUUCAGACAGUAAAGCGUCUGCCUACAAUGUGGGAGACCCGGGUUCGAUCCCUGGCUUGGGAA